AGAGUUGUAUCCUGGCUCAGAUUGAACGCUGGCGGCAUGCCUUACACAUGCAAGUCGAACGGCAGCACGGAGCUUGCUCUGGUGGCGAGUGGCGAACGGGUGAGUAAUAUAUCGGAACGUACCCAAGAGUGGGGGAUAACGUAGCGAAAGUUACGCUAAUACCGCAUACGAUCUAAGGAUGAAAGCAGGGGACCGCAAGGCCUUGUGCUCCUGGAGCGGCCGAUAUCUGAUUAGCUAGUUGGUAGGGUAAAAGCCUACCAAGGCAUCGAUCAGUAGCUGGUCUGAGAGGACGACCAGCCACACUGGAACUGAGACACGGUCCAGACUCCUACGGGAGGCAGCAGUGGGGAAUUUUGGACAAUGGGCGCAAGCCUGAUCCAGCAAUGCCGCGUGAGUGAAGAAGGCCUUCGGGUUGUAAAGCUCUUUUGUCAGGGAAGAAAAGGGAUUGGCUAAUAUCUGAUCCUCAUGACGGUACCUGAAGAAUAAGCACCGGCUAACUACGUGCCAGCAGCCGCGGUAAUACGUAGGGUGCAAGCGUUAAUCGGAAUUACUGGGCGUAAAGCGUGCGCAGGCGGUUUUGUAAGACUGUCGUGAAAUCCCCGGGCUCAACCUGGGAAUGGCGAUGGUGACUGCAAGGCUAGAGUUUGGCAGAGGGGGGUAGAAUUCCACGUGUAGCAGUGAAAUG
rnacentral:rRNA from 1 species